ACCAACGAGUAAAUUUGUAUGCGUGCUCCCUUUCCCGGAUGGUGAUGCAAGAAGACACAGAGAUUUAUCCUGGUUCGGGCAAGAGAAGGCCCUACGUCCAGCGGGGGGAGAGAGUUUGUAUUAUCUUGCACCUAAGUGCUUGUACAGGGGCGAAUACAAGCGUGGUAUGAAGUGUGGAGCUCUACUACGUAUGAGCGUGGUCUGGUGUUGUGAUCCUUCUCCGAUCUAUUCCUGAGUCUCUCCUUUUAUAGCUCCAAGGAGAGACCUAGGGUACAUGCGUAGAUGUUAGAGUAGGGGUCGAUAGCCGCAUGGAGCGCUGACCUACUCGAGGCUUCCGUACGACAUGGCCUCGAGCCGUCCCAUCUUGAUAGCCCGGUGAUGAUUACGCGUGCUCCUGCGUUCUGCCCUGCCCGCCGCCUCGCGCUGGUUCUGAGGUCGC
rnacentral:lncRNA from 1 species